rnacentral:rRNA from 1 species
GCAACGCGGAGAACCUUACCAGGUCUUGACAUCCCUGACAACCCGAGAGAUCGGGCGUUCCCCUUCGGGGGACAGGGUGACAGGUGGUGCAUGGUUGUCGUCAGCUCGUGUCGUGAGAUGUUGGGUUAAGUCCCGCAACGAGCGCAACCCUCGACCUUAGUUGCCAGCAUUCAGUUGGGCACUCUAAGGUGACUGCCGGCUAAAAGUCGGAGGAAGGUGGGGAUGACGUCAAAUCAUCAUGCCCCUUAUGACCUGGGCUACACACGUGCUACAAUGGGCGGUACAAAGGGUCGCGAACCCGCGAGGGGGAGCCAAUCCCAAAAAGCCGCUCUCAGUUCGGAUUGCAGGCUGCAACUCGCCUGCAUGAAGCCGGAAUCGCUAGUAAUCGCGGAUCAGCAUGCCGCGGUGAAUACGUUCCCGGGCCUU